UUCACGGGAUGAUCGGCUGCAUGUGGAUUUGUUUACCUUUUUGCUGUCAUUCCUCUCGUGUGCACACCCUUGUCUCCUCCUUCCUCGUUAUCCUUAAUUGUUUUCCACGGCUGUCUUGUCUGCUUUUCUCUAUUUAUAUGCUCCUGUGUUUGUUUCCCGUUGCGCGUUCGUUGUAUGUAUUUGAGUGAUCGCUGCCCGGUCCUGUCCAGUUUAUUAUUGUGUAGUUUGUCAGUCUGUCUAACCAUUCACUGUGGUUUCGCUCCCAGGAUUCAGCCCAGUUCCGUGUAAAGCUCAAGUUCACCACCGGUCUCCUGUGUUUGUGGAAUAUCAUCUCUCUCUCUCUCUCUCUCCAUCGACUCCGUUGGUUUCCCUCGCAUUUAGGGAGUACACCAGCGGUUCUCUCUACGGUGUGCCUCGUCUUUAGGCUGGAACCGUAGGAUAUUACUGUGUUUCCCUGGACCCGCUAUCCAUUGGAUUAUACUGUGUUUCCCUGGACCCGCUGUGAACUGUGCUUCCUCCGAUAUCCAUUCAGUGAACUUUUUUGCUGUGCAGUGUGGACUUACUCGUCUGUGAUUUAAUAAAUUUUACUUGCAUCAGA